rfam:Mus musculus chromosome 7, GRC primary reference assembly.
UGCUCGCUCCUGCAGCAAUAUACUAAAAUUGGAACGAUACAGAGAAAAUUAGCAUGCCCCUGCACAAGGAUGACAAGGAAAUUCAUGAAGCGUUACAUAUUUUU